rfam:Ovis aries breed Texel chromosome 1, whole genome shotgun sequence.
UCCCUGGUGGUCCAGUGGCUAAAACUUUGCACUCCCAAUGCAGGGGGCCUGGGUUUGAUUCCUGGUCAGGAAA